rnacentral:lncRNA from 1 species
GAUCUUGAAUCCUAGUUGAAAUAGGAUUCCUUAUUAGAGUAGGAUUCUUAGUGCCAAUAGGAUUUGCAUCAGAUCAUUAAGCUAAGCCAAAAUGCCAACGAUCAAUCUUGUUAAUUGCAUUCUCAUGAUUCCUUAUGCCAAUCCUUGUGUCAUCAGGAGUCCUCGUUCUUAGAGGAACAAGGAAUGAUGUAGAUCAUAGUGGUGCAAAUCCUGGUUCAUAAUAUUUUAGUGUACCUCGAUUCUCG